UACGUAGGGUGCGAGCGUUAAUCGGAAUUACUGGGCGUAAAGGGUGCGCAGGCGGUUAUAUAAGACAGAUGUGAAAUCCCCGGGCUCAACCUGGGAACUGCGUUUGUGACUGUAUGACUAGAGUACGGUAGAGAGGGGUGGAAUUCCUGGUGUAGCAGUGAAAUGCGUAGAUAUCAGGAGGAACAUCGAUGGCGAAGGCAGCCCCUUGGACCUGUACUGACGCUCAUUGCACGAAAGCGUGGGGAGCAAACAGG
rnacentral:rRNA from 1 species